AUGAAGAGACACUGGCAAGCUCUGCUGGGGCUUCUGUGGGUCCAUGUUUCCUGGGUGAGAGGGAUGGAGGUGGAGCAGAGCCCUUCAGCCCUGAGCCUCCAGGAGGGAACCAGCUCUACUCUGAGGUGCAAUUUUUCUAGCGCAGUGAAAAAUGUGCAGUGGUUCUGGCAGAAUCCCGGGGGCGGUGGCCUCACCCGGCUGUUUUACAUAGCCUCGGGGAUGAAGCAGAGUGGAAGGUUAAACUGCACGGUGAAUACUAGGGAACGGUCCAGCACCCUCUACAUCACGGCCUCUCAACUGGAAGACUCAGCCACCUACCUGUGUGCGGCGGAGGCACAGUGCUCCCUGGUGAUCUGCAGCUUGCACCCAAACUGCAGCUGGGCCUGCAGCCCCAGCCCUCCCUGGGGCAGGCAUUUGCUUCCACUGCAGCCUUUGCACAAUUUUCAAUUUUUGUAUUUAUGUAGCACUUUUCCCUCCUAA